UACACAAUGUGUUUUUCAGCGACUCUGGUUGGAGUUGAACAUCUAGCUUGUGGCAAUAUGUCUUCAUCGUUUUUCCACCAUUCCAUCUACAGUAACUUCCACUGGCAUGCAAUUUUAGAGUAAUUUCGGAGAAAUAUUAAAUGGAAAGAGUAAAUAGUACAUGUUUUUGUCUUGGUGAUGAUGCUCACCUGUUAGUUUGAGGAACACGUUAAAUUAGUAAAAACUUUUUCUUUGGAUCUGGCAAUGGAACGGGGCUGCUAGGAGAAGAGACGAAUACGUAUGUGUAUCAUGUUGUGCGCUGCAAUGCAAUCUCACGAAUGAUUUUCGAGCGGGUUUCAAGAACUUGUAACAAAUUUGGUGUUUUCAAGCGCCCUUGAAUUUAGAUUUUCAAUUUAAGUACUUUUCAAGGAGUUGUAUGUGCCAUUUGGAGAGGAUGAGCACAGAAUCUAAAGUCCGAAGCAUAUAGGAGGUGAAAGGUGCUUGCUCUAAAGACUAUUAUAAUACACCACCCAAGCACAGCAGACUCUAAAUUCGGGCUAAUUCUUGCCUCGAAACAGGUCUGUCUGUCUGUCUGUCUG